rnacentral:lncRNA from 1 species
CUCCUCUGUUCUGCCCUACAAUGACCUGGGAUUUCUAGGAGCAAGAACAUGGAAGGAGAGUAAAUGAAGCUUUCUGGAUGGUCUGUCUGCUACAGUAACAUGGACUAUCACCCCAUCUUGCACUGCUAUAAUUGUCUAUGCUUCCUUUAAUAAACACCCGGAUGGAAAUAAAACGUACAAAAGGCAGUUAGUCUAGACUCUGGAGUACCAUGUAAAUUAACCAACACUGAUCAUUCCUACAGUGACAAGGCAAUAGAGAGAAACAAAGGUGUAAAUGAUGUUUGUGCCCAUCUAACAGUCAACAGUGAAAGUCAAAGUGAGAUUACUAUAAAGCAG